rnacentral:rRNA from 1 species
GACGAACGCUGGCGGCGUGCCUAACACAUGCAAGUCGAACGGGGUGAUUCCUUCGGGGAUCACUUAGUGGCGAACGGGUGAGUAACGCGUGAGAAACCUGCCUUUCAGUGGGGGACAACAGUUGGAAACGACUGCUAAUACCGCAUAAUGUUUCGAGAGGGCAUCCUUUUGAAACCAAAGCUUUAUGUGCUGAAAGAUGGUCUCGCGUCUGAUUAGCUAGUUGGUGAGGUAACCGGCUCACCAAGGCGACGAUCAGUAGCCGGUCUGAGAGGAUGAACGGCCACAUUGGGACUGAGACACGGCCCAGACUCCUACGGGAGGCAGCAGUGGGGGAUAUUGCGCAAUGGGGGGCAACCCUGACGCAGCAACGCCGCGUGAAGGAUGAAGGUUUUCGGAUCGUAAACUUCUUUAAGUGGGAAAGAUAGUGACGGUACCCACAGAAUAAGCCACGGCUAACUACGUG